AGUGAACGCUGGCGGUAGGCCUAACACAUGCAAGUCGAACGGCAGCACAGUAAGAGCUUGCUCUUACGGGUGGCGAGUGGCGGGCGGGUGAGGAAUACAUCGGAAUCUACUUUUUCGUGGGGGAUAACGUAGGGAAACUUACGCUAAUACCGCAUACGACCUACGGGUGAAAGCAGGGGAUCUUCGGACCUUGCGCGAUUGAAUGAGCCGAUGUCGGAUUAGCUAGUUGGCGGGGUAAAGGCCCACCAAGGCGACGAUCCGUAGCUGGUCUGAGAGGAUGAUCAGCCACACUGGAACUGAGACACGGUCCAGACUCCUACGGGAGGCAGCAGUGGGGAAUAUUGGACAAUGGGCGCAAGCCUGAUCCAGCCAUACCGCGUGGGUGAAGAAGGCCUUCGGGUUGUAAAGCCCUUUUGUUGGGAAAGAAAAACAGCAGGUUAAUACCCCGCUGUUCUGACGGUACCCAAAGAAUAAGCACCGGCUAACUUCGUG
rnacentral:rRNA from 1 species